UGUAAAAUUAGUUUGUGUUGGUCUGAAUGCGUUCGUUGAUUGCGAUCGGGAGUAAUCAGUUUUGGAUUACCACUGAUUACAUCGCAACCGAUCGCAACAGAGUGUAGUCUGAAUACCGCAUUAAACUUAGUACGCCAAAUACACAAUAUGUAUCAUCUAUAAAUCUUCUCCAUAUGUUUGGAGUAAAUUCGAGCUUUUAUACGAUAAUACGAUGACAAAAAUGACGAAAUUUCGAUUGUAGACGCAGACGAUUGGAGCCAUACAAGAAGAAUGAACUUACUCAAUCGACACAGAUAAAAACAUUACGAAGAAAGGAGUUCGAAAUUAAACCAUGCUCCGGAGGGGAAAAAUUAAUAUGCUGAUGUACCACCCGGAAUUGUGUGUGACAAAAACUCGGUAACGAGUAAUAAGGUACGGUACAGACUUUUAAAUAUUUAAAUACUGGGGAAAAU